rnacentral:rRNA from 1 species
CCUACGGGAGGCAGCAGUGGGGAAUAUUGCACAAUGGGCGGAAGCCUGAUGCAGCGACGCCGCGUGAGGGAUGAAGGCCUUCGGGUUGUAAACCUCUUUCAGCAGGGACGAAGCGUGAGUGACGGUACCUGCAGAAGAAGCACCGGCUAACUACGUGCCAGCAGCCGCGGUAAUACGUAGGGUGCGAGCGUUGUCCGGAAUUACUGGGCGUAAAGAGUUCGUAGGCGGUUUGUCGCGUCGUUUGUGAAAACCCGGGGCUCAACUUCGGGCUUGCAGGCGAUACGGGCAGACUUGAGUGUUUCAGGGGAGACUGGAAUUCCUGGUGUAGCGGUGAAAUGCGCAGAUAUCAGGAGGAACACCGGUGGCGAAGGCGGGUCUCUGGGAAACAACUGACGCUGAGGAACGAAAGCGUGGGUAGCAAACAGGAUUAGAUACCCUGGUAGUCCACGCCGUAAACGGUGGCGCUAGGUGUGGGUUCCUUCCACGGGAUCUGUGCCGUAGCUAACGCAUUAAGNGCCCGCCUGGGGAGACGCGCGAGAGAACGUAAGAAGUAGAGCGNGAAGAGUGCGAGNGACGACGAGGAGAG